GAGACUUUGCCCUUGCAGACUCUGUUGACUGCAUGUAACUGGGGAGAGGUGGUGUGCUCGUCAGGCUUGCAUCAUCCCUGACCGAGCCUCCACCUGUGCUCUGCCUCCUUGGGCGUUCAGAACGUAUGCUUGUGAUGCUCCUCAGGUCAUCCUCCUUGUACAGCCAGCUGCCCCUUGGACUUGCCGGCCUGAUCUUUCCUGAGGUAGAUGGGGCCUUUGAUGGCGGAGUUGAAGGUGAUUGCCGGCUUGGUGGACGGCUUGAUUUGUUUGGUGUUGCUGGUCUCUGGAUUGAGAUGGCACGGGGUACAGACGUUCGAACAGCACUGGUGCUGGGAUUCUUUGUCAGAGUACGCUCUUUAGGAUCUUUAUCUGAUGCAGCCAAUCGGCUCUCCCAAGGUCUUGCUGACAUCCAGCGUUCCAUCCAGCUCCAGCCCCAGUUAGGAUUCCCAGGUUCCGUGAAAGUUGGGGUUAUAGUUCGACCAGAAUUCCUCCACUGCAUAAGAAGAAGAAACAGGAAAGAGUGAGAAACAGAGCAACAUGCAUUGAACAUGUCGCUGUAGAUACAGAUGUUAAGAAUGAGUAAACAAGAAAAAUAGGAACUAAACAGAAACAGAAGUGACAACUUACCUGGUGAGAAAAUGCAUAUGCGAGUGCUCUUUCUCGUCUUAGUGCAGCUUCCUGCUUCAUAAUUAGGCUGGCCUCAAUUUGCUCUUUGGAUUGAUGACUGUGAUCCCAGUCUUCAUCAAUCUGAUAAGAAAGUAGUGUCCGAGAUCUGUUAUAUCAGGACUGUCCUAUUAUAUGAUUGCAAAAUUCUGAUUACCAUCAUCUCUCCAAAGAAAAAUCUACUUCAAUGUGACUGUUAUUUUGACUAUGGUAUAACUCUAACUCUUUCUUCCGAAAAUAGGGAAAAUCAUUAUCUUUUUCCUAAAUAACAAUGUAGCUUAGAUAUUGAUAUCGAAAUGGCAUGCUCACCUUCAUUUUCUCAAGCUCUCUUUGAUGUUUCAAUUGGAGCUGCCUCUGAAGAGCCUGUUUUUCCUCCUCCAGCUUCACCCUUCUAGAGUAGAUUUUAGUUUGGACUCUUGCCAUCGUUUGUGUGCAAUGCAAAGUGUGAGCAGUUUGACGCUUGACAGCAUUUCCAUCAACAAGCGACUUCAAUCUAACUAGCCCUCUUAGUGCCCGCAAUGCUCUCCUUGCCUAAAAAGGAUAUUUUGCAAAUUUAUUAUCUUUGUUUUUUUCAGCUGUUACAUUAGCAUUAACAUCUCUUUAGUGCCAAAACAUUGGAAACAUCAAACAGAUAUAACUUUGAAAACGACCUGCAAGUGAAAUCUUGGCUGUAUCGUGAAAUGAACAAAUCGUACACAUACACAAUGAUGAAUUAGACAGCAACUCUUUACCAACCAAAUCAGAUGUCUUGCAAAAUAUUAACCCAGCGGUUAGCUUACGUGCAUGGACUCAAGUGCCCAUAAGUUUCAAGAUAGUGACAGGCAGCAGUCACAAGACCUAAUUGUCUUAUUAUACGGCUAGUCCAACGACUCAAACAAGAUAACAGAAGCCAUUAGUAAAUGACCUACAGGUGCAGAAGAAUUACCAGAUAACCCCUGAAGGCAGUUUGAAUUUUGAUGGCAGCAAGCUCUUCCCUUGAAUUAGCAGGCAUUUUUGGUGCGGUCGAGGUAACUGCUGUGAGGCGGACAACCUCAGCAGCGGCCUGGGCAGCAACUGCAGCAGCUUCUGCAGCAACAGCAGAUGCAAGCGCAACAGAGUAGGCAUGCUUGUUCUGCUCACUGUCUGUUUCAACUGGCUUGACAUCUCUAAUUUCCUGAGAGUGUGACUGAGCAGGUUGUGGUGGUGGCGGCUGCGGCAACGGAGCUACUGGAGCAGUCCCUGACGCAGUUGAGGUUGAAGGAUCAGAGUGCCUAC
rnacentral:lncRNA from 1 species